rnacentral:rRNA from 1 species
UACGUAGGGUGCAAGCGUUAAUCGGAAUUACUGGGCGUAAAGCGUACGCAGGCGGCUAUGUAAGACAGGUGUGAAAUCCCCGGGCUUAACCUGGGAACUGCAUUUGUGACUGCAUAGCUAGAGUCUGUCAGAGGGGGGUGGAAUUCCACGUGUAGCAGUGAAAUGCGUAGAGAUGUGGAGGAACACCGAUGGCGAAGGCAGCCCCCCUGGGAUAAGACUGACGCUCAUGUACGAAAGCGUGGGGAGCAAACAGG